UAAAAUUUUAUUUUAUUUAUUAGUUAAAAAUUUUUAAUUUAAGAAAAAUUUAAUUUUAUUAUAAAAAAGAAAAAAUUAAUUUUAUUAUAGUUAAAAGUAUUGUAAAAGAAUAAUUUUAAUUUUAUAAAAGAAAAGUUUAUUUUUUGUACCUUGUGUAUCAGGGUUUAUUAAUUAAAAAUUAUGAAUUUAAUAAUCCCGAAUUUAAAAGAGCUAAAAAGUUAAAAUUUUUAAUGUAAAAUAAUUAUUUUAAAUAAUUUUUUAGUAAUGAAAUGUUAUUCGUUUUUAAAUAUAUCUGGUUUUUUAAGAAAUAAAUUUAAUUUAUUUAUUAUAAAUAUAAAAAUAUUUAAUUAUUUUUAUAUUAAUAAUAUAUUAUAUUUUUAGGGAUAAGCUUAAAAAUAUAUUAUUAAUAGAAUUUUUAAAUUAUAAAAAAUAAUUAGGAUUAAAAAUUUUCAUAUUUUAAAGUUUGUUAUAAUUUAUAUUUUUAUUAUAUUUUUUAUAUUUUCUAUAAGUUUUUUAUUAAAAUAUAAUUUUAAAUUAUAAAAAAUUAGUAAUAAUGAUAAAAUUAGUAUUUAUAUUUAUAAAUUUUUUAUAAUAUUAAAAGGUUAAAUAAAGGAAUUCGGCAAAUUAUUUUUCACCUGUUUAUUAAAAACAUGUCUUUUUGUUUUAUAUUUAAGGUCUAGCCUGCCCCCUGAAGUAUUUAAAUGGCCGCAGUAUUUUGACUGUGCUAAGGUAGCAUAAUCAUUAGUUUUUUAAUUGAAAGCUGGAAUGAAAGGUUGGAUGAAAAAAUAACUGUCUCUGUUUAAUUAUCAAUGAAUUUUAUUUUUAAGUUAAAAAGCUUAAAUAAUAUUAAAAGACGAGAAGACCCUAUAGAGUUUUAUAAUUUUAUUUUAUUAUAUAUUUAGAAUUAAUUUAUAUAAUAAAAUAAAUUUAUUUAAUUGGGGUGAUUGAAAAAUUUAAUGAACUUUUUAUUAUAAUUAUAUUAAUUUAUAAGUAUUUGAUCCAAAAAUAAUGAUUAUAAGAUAAAAUUACCUUAGGGAUAACAGCGUAAUUUUAUUAGAGAGUUCAAAUCGAUAAUAAAGAUUGCGACCUCGAUGUUGGAUUAAAAUUUAUAAUUGGUGCAGAAGCUAUAUUAUUAAGUCUGUUCGACUUUUAAAAUUUUACAUGAUCUGAGUUUAAACCGGUGUAAGCCAGGUUGGUUUCUAUCUUUAAUUAAAAAAUAUAUUUUAGUACGAAAGGACCAAAUAUUUAAAUAUUAUUUUUAUUUUGAUAA
rnacentral:rRNA from 1 species